GUUUCUGUAGUGUAGUGGUUAUCACGUUCGCCUGACACGCAAAAGGGCUCCGGUUCAAAACCGGAAGGAAACA
rnacentral:tRNA from 1 species